rnacentral:sRNA from 1 species
AUUCAUACAUGUUGUUUGUUUCAUCCAUCAUGUCUGAGUAGUCUGCUUGUUAGGGUUAGGAUUUCUCAGUAGGGAUUCAUAUAAUUUAGUAGAUCGCUCCCUUGCAAGGUUAUCUGUAGGAUUCUUCAUCUUUAGUUGC